rnacentral:rRNA from 1 species
CACAUGCAAGUCGAGCGGUAGCACAGAGAGCUUGCUCUCGGGUGACGAGCGGCGGACGGGUGAGUAAUGUCUGGGAAACUGCCUGAUGGAGGGGGAUAACUACUGGAAACGGUAGCUAAUACCGCAUAACGUCGCAAGACCAAAGUGGGGGACCUUCGGGCCUCAUGCCAUCAGAUGUGCCCAGAUGGGAUUAGCUAGUAGGUGGGGUAACGGCUCACCUAGGCGACGAUCCCUAGCUGGUCUGAGAGGAUGACCAGCCACACUGGAACUGAGACACGGUCCAGACUCCUACGGGAGGCAGCAGUGGGGAAUAUUGCACAAUGGGCGCAAGCCUGAUGCAGCCAUGCCGCGUGUGUGAAGAAGGCCUUCGGGUUGUAAAGCACUUUCAGCGGGGAGGAAGGCGUUAAGGUUAAUAACCUUGGCGAUUGACGUUACCCGCAGAAGAAGCACCGGCUAACUCCGUGCCAGCAGCCGCGGUAAUACGGAGGGUGCAAGCGUUAAUCGGAAUUACUGGGCGUAAAGCGCACGCAGGCGGUCUGUCAAGUCGGAUGUGAAAUCCCCGGGCUCAACCUGGGAACUGCAUUCGAAACUGGCAGGCUAGAGUCUUGUAGAGGGGGGUAGAAUUCCAGGUGUAGCGGUGAAAUGCGUAGAGAUCUGGAGGAAUACCGGUGGCGAAGGCGGCC